rnacentral:rRNA from 1 species
AACACGGACCAAGGAGUUCAACGUGUGUGCGAGUCCGAGGGGCUUGGAAACCCUGUAGGGCAAAGUUAAGGCGAUAGGGGGAGCAAUCCCGCAUUGCCCUGUGGCAGAAUCCCAGCUCUCCCAGGAGACCGGAUGCACCGACGGCCGCAUCAAUGGCAGGGCGGAGCUCGAGCACGUGCGUCGGUACCCGAAAGAUGGGGAAACUAUUCUUGGGCAAGACGAAGCCAGAGAAAACUCUGGUGAAAGUCCUUAGCGAUUCUAAUGUUCAAAUCGAUCGUCUGACCUGAGUAUAGGGGCGAAAGACAAAUCGAACUAUCUAGUAGCUGG